UUCUCCUCUUAUAGGGACACCUGUCCUUGAAUUUGGGACCUAAAUCCAGAAUGAUUUUGAGAGGUCUUUACUCAUUACAUCUGCCAAGACCCUACCUCUAAAUAAGGUCCCUUCUUUUGUUUGGGGUGGAUAUGCAUUGGAGGGAGGGGACAUGACUCAGCCCUGUACGCCUGAUUCCCAGUCUGGUCACUCCUGCAGAGAAAGCCCUAGAGAGCCUGAGCAGACCUUCAGCUGAGGACACAAGCCCAGGAGCUGGGAUGGGACCCAGCAGCCUGACCUGAGGGACAAGGAAGAGCCUGGUAACGAUAGAUCUGCUCCGUCAGGACUCCCUCACCAGGGACAAGGCUGAGGGCCCAGGAGUCUUGAGAACCAACCACCGAAUACCCCUAUGAGCCCAUUUGCAGGAGAGGGAACCAAAGCCUGAGGAGGUUAAGUCCUUGGCCUGUGGUUGAAGAAGGGAGAGAAGCCAGCAUUCAGACCCUCAGGCUGCGGCCCAGAGCUGAUCGACCCCUCCAUCCCCUCCUGAGACAGAUGGACCUCCCUAGCAGACUGUGGGUGAGCCUCAGCAAUACCUGGAGAGCCUCUUGGCCAACUUCCACCAAGAGCAGCCAUAGCCUCGCGGCUGGGCUUCACGGACAGCAGCUUGUGGGAAUUCCAGGAGGCACUGCCAUAUCCUGCCAGCGCUCUGGGGAGUCAGACUUCCUGAAGGUCUCCCUCCCAGAACGCCAGAGAGACAGGCCUUGGACCCAGGGGAGCAACUGGGUGGCUUCUCACCUCCACCCUUCCUGGAAGGUGCAACGCUCUGGAAUUUCCCAAAGCGAGAUGCCCGUCAGGGAGCAGCGCCCCGGCCUCCCUCCACCAUCGCUGCUGGUGCUUCUUCCCUUCAAGUGACCACGGCUCUCAAGUGGAUGCUGUGUGUGCUUGAGGU
rnacentral:lncRNA from 1 species